CCGCGGCGCCCCUGCUCCCGCCGGUCGCUGCGGUCGCCCCUCCCUUCCUCUGUCGUCUGGUAAAGUGACUUGCAGUUGCAACUUGCAAAGCAGAACAUGAAGAGGAAAAGUGCCAUUCUGGAUCUUUUUAAAAAACAUGAAGAGAAAGUGAGGAAGAUUGCUACUGAACAUCACACGGAAGAUAUUGAAAAUGCGGGGUGUCCUAAUUCCCCAUCUCCUAUCCAUUCGGAUACUGAAAUCGAGGAGGCAACGCCAAGUCUUCCAUCACCUCAACAACCAAGUGCACAUGUCUUUUCAGGUGAUCCAGCGAAAAGAACUCCUAUUUCAGAGUAUGAUUUUAAUGAUCAAGAUAGUGUUCGGAGAAGAUAUAUUGCAAAAACAGCAUGUCGUCCAUAUGGACAUGCUUUUGAAGUUAGGAAAAUCUAUGGUAAAAACCGACACUUUAGUUUUGUUUGGUUUGAAAAGUAUAGUUGGCUAGAAUAUAGUGUCUCAAA